UACGAAGGGUGCAAGCGUUAAUCGGAAUUACUGGGCGUAAAGCGCGCGUAGGUGGUUCAGUAAGUUGGAAGUGAAAGCCCCGGGCUCAACCUGGGAACUGCAGGACGAACUGCUUGACUAGAGUAUAGUAGAGGAGUGUGGAAUUCCCGGUGUAGCGGUGAAAUGCGUAGAUAUCGGGAGGAACAUCAGUGGCGAAGGCGGCACUCUGGACUGAUACUGACACUGAGGUGCGAAAGCGUGGGUAGCGAACAGG
rnacentral:rRNA from 1 species